UACGUAGGGGGCAAGCGUUGUCCGGAAUUAUUGGGCGUAAAGCGCGUGUAGGCGGCUCGGUAAGUCUGCUGUGAAAGUCCAGGGCUCAACCCUGGAACGCCGGUGGAUACUGUCGAGCUCGAGUCCGGAAGAGGCGAGUGGAAUUCCUGGUGGAGCGGUGAAAUGCGUAGAUAUCAAGUGGAACACCAGUGGCGAAGGCGAGUCCCUGGACACUUCCUGACGCUGAGGCACGAAAGCUAGGGGAGCAAACAGG
rnacentral:rRNA from 1 species